UACGUAGGGUGCGAGCGUUAAUCGGAAUUACUGGGCGUAAAGUGUGCGCAGGCGGCCGCGCAAGUCGAGUGUGAAAUCCCCGGGCUUAACUUGGGAAUUGCGCUCGAAACUACGUGGCUGGAGUGUGGCAGAGGAAGGUGGAAUUCCACGUGUAGCGGUGAAAUGCGUAGAGAAUGUGGAGGAACACCAAUGGCGAAGGCAGCCCCCUGGGUCAAG
rnacentral:rRNA from 1 species